UGCCGGCUCAGCCGGCUGGGCUUGCGCCUGCGGCGUUUCGACCGGCGUCAGUCUUGCACGGGCUGGACCGCUUGCGGGGCGGUGUCGGCGGC
rnacentral:tRNA from 1 species